CCCUUAGAUGUUCUGGGCCGCACGCGCGCUACACUGAUGCAUUCAACGAGCCUAUCCUUGACCGACAGGUCCGGGUAAUCUUUGAAUCUGCAUCGUGACGGGGAUAGAUUAUUGCAAUUAUUAAUCUUCAACGAGGAAUGCCUAGUAGGCGCAAGUCAUCAGCUUGCGUCGAUUACGUCCCUGCCCUUUGUACACACCGCCCGUCGCUCCUACCGAUUGGGUGUGCUGGUGAAAUGUUCGGAUCGGCCGUUUGUCGCGGUUUCCGCGCCAUGUGGCUGAGAAGUUCAUUAAACCCUCCCACCUAGAGGAAGGAGAAGUCGUAACA
rnacentral:rRNA from 1 species